rnacentral:tRNA from 1 species
GGGCCGGUAGCUCAGCCUGGAAGAGCGCCGCCCUUGCAAGGCGGAGGUCCCGGGUUCAAAUCCCGGCCGGUCCA